GAUGAAGAACGUAGCGAAAUGCGAUAAGUAAUGUGAAUUGCAGAAUUCAGUGAAUCAUCGAAUCUUUGAACGCACAUUGCGCCCCCCAGUAUUCUGGCGGGCAUGCCUGUUCGAGCGUCAUAUCAACCAUCAAGCCCUGCUUGUGUUGGGGUCCUGCGGCUGCCCGCAGGCCCUGAAAACCAGUGGCGGGCUCGCUAGUCACACCGAGCGCAGUAGCACAUCUCGCUCAGGGCGUGCGGCGGGCUCCAGCCGUUAAAGCACCCACCUUUCGCAAGGUUGACCUCGGAUCAGGUAGGAAUACCCGCUGAACUUAAGCAUAUCAAUAAGCGGAGGA
rnacentral:misc_RNA from 1 species